GCAUCGAUGAAGAACGCAGCGAAAUGCGAUAAGUAGUGUGAAUUGCAGAAUUCAGUGAAUCAUCGAAUCUUUGAACGCACAUUGCGCCCCCUGGUAUUCCAUGGGGCAUGCCUGUUCGAGCGUCAUUUGUACCUUCAAGCUAUGCUUGGUGUUGGGUGUUUGUCCUCUCCCCUGCGUUUGGACUCGCCUUAAAGUCAUUGGCAGCCUGUAUACUGGUUUUGAGCGCAGCACAUUUUGCGUCUUGCAUGCUAGUAAUACUAGCAUCCAUCAAGCCCUUUAUCACUUUUGACCUCGGAUCAGGUAGGGAUACCCGCUGAACUUUAAGCAUAUCAAUAGCGGAGGA
rnacentral:rRNA from 1 species